GUGACUGCGUACCUUUUGUAUAAUGGGUCAGCGACUUAUAUUCUGUAGCAAGGUUAACCGAAUAGGGGAGCCGAAGGGAAACCGAGUCUUAACUGGGCGUUAAGUUGCAGGGUAUAGACCCGAAACCCGGUGAUCUAGCCAUGGGCAGGUUGAAGGUUGGGUAACACUAACUGGAGGACCGAACCGACUAAUGUUGAAAAAUUAGCGGAUGACUUGUGGCUGGGGGUGAAAGGCCAAUCAAACCGGGAGAUAGCUGGUUCUCCCCGAAAGCUAUUUAGGUAGCGCCUCGUGAAUUCAUCUCCGGGGGUAGAGCACUGUUUCGGCAAGGGGGUCAUCCCGACUUACCAACCCGAUGCAAACUGCGAAUACCGGAGAAUGUUAUCACGGGAGACACACGGCGGGUGCUAACGUCCGUCGUGAAGAGGGAAACAACCCAGACCGCCAGCUAAGGUCCCAAAGUCAUGGUUAAGUGGGAAACGAUGUGGGAAGGCCCAGACAGCCAGGAUGUUGGCUUAGAAGCAGCCAUCAUUUAAAGAAAGCGUAAUAGCUCACUGGUCGAGUCGGCCUGCGCGGAAGAUGUAACGGGGCUAAACCAUGCACCGAAGCUGCGGCAGCGACACUGUGUGUUGUUGGGUAGGGGAGCGUUCUGUAAGCCUGUGAAGGUGUGCUGUGAGGCAUGCUGGAGGUAUCAGAAGUGCGAAUGCUGACAUAAGUAACGAUAAAGCGGGUGAAAAGCCCGCUCGCCGGAAGACCAAGGGUUCCUGUCCAACGUUAAUCGGGGCAGGGUGAGUCGACCCCUAAGGCGAGGCCGAAAGGCGUAGUCGAUGGGAAACAGGUUAAUAUUCCUGUACUUGGUGUUACUGCGAAGGGGGGACGGAGAAGGCUAUGUUGGCCGGGCGACGGUUGUCCCGGUUUAAGCGUGUAGGCUGGUUUUCCAGGCAAAUCCGGAAAAUCAAGGCUGAGGCGUGAUGACGAGGCACUACGGUGCUGAAGCAACAAAUGCCCUGCUUCCAGGAAAAGCCUCUAAGCAUCAGGUAACAUCAAAUCGUACCCCAAACCGACACAGGUGGUCAGGUAGAGAAUACCAAGGCGUUUGAGAGAACUCGGGUGAAGGAACUAGGCAAAAUGGUGCCGUAACUUCGGGAGAAGGCACGCUGAUAUGUAGGUGAAGUCCCUCGCGGAUGGAGCUGAAAUCAGUCGAAGAUACCAGCUGGCUGCAACUGUUUAUUAAAAACACAGCACUGUGCAAACACGAAAGUGGACGUAUACGGUGUGACGCCUGCCCGGUGCCGGAAGGUUAAUUGAUGGGGUCAGCGCAAGCGAAGCUCUUGAUCGAAGCCCCGGUAAACGGCGGCCGUAACUAUAACGGUCCUAAGGUAGCGAAAUUCCUUGUCGGGUAAGUUCCGACCUGCACGAAUGGCGUAAUGAUGGCCAGGCUGUCUCCACCCGAGACUCAGUGAAAUUGAACUCGCUGUGAAGAUGCAGUGUACCCGCGGCAAGACGGAAAGACCCCGUGAACCUUUACUAUAGCUUGACACUGAACAUUGAGCCUUGAUGUGUAGGAUAGGUGGGAGGCUUUGAAGUGUGGACGCCAGUCUGCAUGGAGCCGACCUUGAAAUACCACCCUUUAAUGUUUGAUGUUCUAACGUGGACCCGUGAUCCGGGUUGCGGACAGUGUCUGGUGGGUAGUUUGACUGGGGCGGUCUCCUCCUAAAGAGUAACGGAGGAGCACGAAGGUUGGCUAAUCCUGGUCGGACAUCAGGAGGUUAGUGCAAUGGCAUAAGCCAGCUUGACUGCGAGCGUGACGGCGCGAGCAGGUGCGAAAGCAGGUCAUAGUGAUCCGGUGGUUCUGAAUGGAAGGGCCAUCGCUCAACGGAUAAAAGGUACUCCGGGGAUAACAGGCUGAUACCGCCCAAGAGUUCAUAUCGACGGCGGUGUUUGGCACCUCGAUGUCGGCUCAUCACAUCCUGGGGCUGAAGUAGGUCCCAAGGGUAUGGCUGUUCGCCAUUUAAAGUGGUACGCGAGCUGGGUUUAGAACGUCGUGAGACAGUUCGGUCCCUAUCUGCCGUGGGCGCUGGAGAACUGAGGGGGGCUGCUCCUAGUACGAGAGGACCGGAGUGGACGCAUCACUGGUGUUCGGGUUGUCAUGCCAAUGGCACUGCCCGGUAGCUAAAUGCGGAAGAGAUAAGUGCUGAAAGCAUCUAAGCACGAAACUUGCCCCGAGAUGAGUUCUCCCUGACCCUUUAAGGGUCCUGAAGGAACGUUGAAGACGACGACGUUGAUAGGCCGGGUGUGUAAGCGCAGCGAUGCGUUGAGCUAACCGGUACUAAUGAACCGUGAGGCUUAACCUU
rnacentral:rRNA from 1 species